rnacentral:rRNA from 1 species
CCAUGAGUACAGUGGCGUACGGGUGAGUAACACGUGGGUAAUCUACCUUUUAGUGUGGAAUAACCCUGGGAAACCGGGGCUAAUACCGCAUAAGCUCGAGAGAGGAAAGUCGAAAGACGCUGAAAGAGGAGCCCGCGGCCGAUUAGCUAGUUGGCAGGGUAAGAGCCUACCAAGGCAGAGAUCGGUAGCCGGCCUGAGAGGGCACACGGCCACACUGGCACUGAAACACGGGCCAG